rnacentral:tRNA from 3 species
GGCCUAUAGCUCAGCUGGUUAGAGCGCACGCCUGAUAAGCGUGAGGUCGAUGGUUCGAGUCCAUUUAGGCC